UGUCAUGAUUCCUGACAAAAAAGAAAGUUUGAAAUAUCAGGAAACGGAUGAUGCAUUAGCUAAUUUCCUGUAGCAUUUGUUUGGUAGUUUGUUUGGUAUUCACGGGGAUUUCAUUCUAUAUAGUAAAUUCAGUUUUGAUUGAAAAACGGUUUGAUCACCAGUGAACUUCUAUUUAAUAGACAUGGAGAGAAGUGAGUUCACUUGUGAUUUUUUAGCAGUUUGAUUAGUCCCAGGAAGAGUUCACAUUCCUGUAAAAAAAAUAGAGUAAAAAUACUGGCAGACGCUUAUUUAUUUUUGGCAGUUGAUUCGCUUGAUUUUGGCGGUGUAAUUUCUCACCAGUUUUCAUUUCUUUUACACUGGCAAAACGCUGGCCUCCGUCGCUCCUACUAGCUUUGCCCGGGCUUCGGCAGCUGGCUGGCUCCGCCCAUGGUCAGGAGUUCACUUAAAACACGCCAGGAAUUCAGCUUUAUACGUAGAAGUUCAUUUAAAUUUGGUUCUAGCGAGUAGUUGUGCGCUGCUUCGCUCUGCUGCUGACGCCCUUGAGAUGCUCUUAGCUACUGUGCCCCAGACAGGACCGUACACCCUAUGAACCACCUUCAGGACGUGCGCACGUGCGCCUUCUAUAAGGCGUGAGCUCCAGCCAUUGCCUGUUGACGGAGGCAUGUGCCGCAGCCUUGGAGACACAAGUACUUGCCUGCCACCGAUGUAGCUGCGUUUUCAAAUAUGUUGCAAGCGCUCACCAUCUCAGUAGCAGGGGCACGUUUUUUCGCGUUACGUGUUGAACAACUGCUCGUGAAAGCUGAAACUCUUUUUCUGUGAACUUGUGACACCCCUUUCCCAUGUCCAACAGAGAGCUGAGAGGUUCAGAGAGAAAACGUGAUGUGAAGUUCAGUUAAGGUAGCAUUGAAGUUCAGAUAGCCCAUCUUAUGUGAAGUUCAUAGACAGAUGGUUUUUGAAAUUUUAGUUUCUUUAGCUGAAGUCAUUGAACCAUACUGUGCUUGUUCCUUUUUUGUAUUUUUUCCAUCGAAACCCAGGAAAAAAUGUAUUCCCUGUAGUGUUCAGGGAAUGAAACAUGUACUUUGGAUUUGCUGAUUUUAAAACUUGGACAUUGUAGAGAUUUUCUAUGUUCGGGGAAUGUAAAAUUUCCCCAUCUAACGUGAAGUUCACUAAGAGUUCAAAGUUCACAUUAGUACUCUGCAGCAAUUAGGAGGUUCACGCAUACAUAUGAAGUCCAAGAAAUUUUGAACUUCAUUUUGAGUGGUAUGCUUUUAUCAUGUUGAAGUAUGCUACAGGACCGAUAGGACAUGAGUACAAUCUGAUUGAUUCCCAGGUGAUACAAUGUAGAGUCGACAGAGAGGUCGGUUGAUCAGGUCAAAUGGUCAAUGCAGGGAGGGAGGCAUGAUCAGUCCAGGUCAACAAGACAAGAAAUCAUAUGCAUAUGCAGGGCGUAGGCACAUGCAUCAUUGUUUGAUCAUAUAUGCAAGUGGAUAUUGAAUGAGUAUUGUAUCUAGUAGACAUGGGGCAUGAAAUUGCGGUUCAGGAGAACUGGUGUGGGUUGUUUGGCAAGUUUUUCCCUUUCAUUUAUAUUUUCCUUUUUUGCUCUGUAUAGAUAACAAAAAUGGAAAUUUAUUUUUUUCUAACCCAGGAGUUCAUUCUUCAUUUAUAUGUUGAAUUUUUA